rnacentral:rRNA from 1 species
CCUACGGGGGGCUGCAGUAACGAAUCUUCCGCAAUGCACGAAAGUGUGACGGAGCGACGCCGCGUGGAGGACGAAGUCCUUCGGGAUGUAAACUCCUGUCAGGGGUUACCAAGUUCUGAGGAACCCCAGAGGAAGGCACGGCUAACUCUGUGCCAGCAGCCGCGGUAAGACAGAGGUGCCGAGCGUUAGGCGGAAUCACUGGGCUUAAAGCGCGUGUAGGUGGCGGCCUAAGUACCUUGUGAAAUCCUGCGGCUCAACCGCAGAACUGCUUGGUA